UGUAACAGCAAUUGUGAUAUCAUUAAAAUAAUUCGACGGUACUGCAAAAGUAUACAAAAGUGACAGAAAAAAAAGAUAUUUUUAUGAAAAUAACCCAAAUUUUAGUUUGCUCUUCUUGAAGCUUCAAGGUGAAGCUUCAAUGGAGUCUUGGAUCGAACUGAGUGAAAGAGGGAGAGAAGGAAAGUUAUGGAAAGCUCAGGGUAUUAAGUCAGCUUCAGUAUAACUCAGGAUUGAGAUUGUUCAUGCUUCUCCUUGGAAAUAAACUUCAGAAGAAGUUUCUUCUCGGCUUGAACUGACCCUGUCUCGUAGGAGUGAACCUGCUGAAUUGAUAGUUAAGUUUCUAUUAUCCCAAUCUCUGUUAAGUGAAUUAACGGUUGGUUAACUGCAAAUCUGAAUCAUUAUGCAGGGCUUUAUGUUAGGACUGGAUUUACAGGUCAUGUGAUGGUGUUCCAACCCUUGGAAAAUGGUACAGGUUUGUUAAUUGGUUUUGAGGUUCGCACAUUGCUUUGUUAACUUGGAAAUAAAAAAUAAAUGGAUUUAUGCAUGACUAUUUAUCCUAUUGCAAUUUCCAGAUUUGAGAUGAAUGAUGAUAUGCUUUGUUGAUGCAGUUGGAUAUGAUUGCUUGAUUGUCAUGGAUAUAUUGUUGGCUAGUAUGAUUUGUUGAAUCGCAUUUUACUGCAGGUCUUCGAAUGGGAAAUGUGGUUUGUUGGUCCUGCAGGUGUUGCAUCUUGCUCAUAUGUUUAAUUAGUUGCAGAAUGUCCUGCUUUUGCUGCAGUUUGGUUCAGUUUGUAUUGAUCCUAGAUAUUGGUUUCUGGUUUGCAUCAGGUUCUUCGCAUUUCUAACUUUGCAUUCAUAUCAUUUUGUAGGAUUUUGGGAUUCUUGUUAUUGCAUAUCAGAUUAGACUCUGACAUUUCCUUGCAGACCUUUGACUAGUGUUUUAUGUGUGCCAUUAUGCAUUGCCUUGAGUUCUUUUUGUAGGUUACAUGCACACAUGACACAUGGUGUUUGAACAAGGGUUUGCAACAUAAUGACCAAGAUUGGAUUUUGAAGCAUUAUGCACACAUGACAAGGAUUCAAGGAUCAAGGAUUAACAUUUGACAUUAGCAUUGGAAUUAGAAAUUGGACUUAGGGUUUUAGGAUGAAAAGGGUUUGAGUUGACUUUGGUCAAAGUUGACCCAAAAAAAUCAACUCUUGGUCAAAAUUUCCAUUUUCUUGUAUUUUUCAUGUAUGAACCUUUGUAAUGAUUUAUAAUGGAUGGACUUUGAUGUUUUGGUAUGAAUAAUAUUGAUGUUUAGAUGAAUUUGAUA